rfam:Gossypium raimondii Chr08_contig_1318, whole genome shotgun sequence.
UGUUAAAAAUUCUAUCCAUUUGUACUAUUAAAAACUGAUGUAAUUGAUAGAAUAACUCGACAACGGCACCCACGUAUACCUCAUGUUGACGUACAAUAACCAAUUUUUAACAAUAGAAAUAGAUGAACUUUUUAACA